rnacentral:rRNA from 1 species
UACGUAGGGUGCGAGCGUUAAUCGGAAUGACUGGGCGUAAAGGGCGCGUAGGCGGUUUGUACAGUCAGAUGUGAAAUUCCUGGGCUCAACCUGGGGGCUGCAUUUGAUACGUAUGGACUGGAGUGAGGAAGAGGGUCGUGGAAUUCCCAGUGUAGAGGUGAAAUUCGUAGAUAUUGGGAAGAACACCGGUGGCGAAGGCGGCGACCUGGUCCUUUACUGACGCUGAGGCGCGAAAGCGUGGGGAGCAAACAGG